rnacentral:rRNA from 1 species
AGAGUUUGAUCCUGGCUCAGGACGAACGCUGGCGGCGUGCUUAACACAUGCAAGUCGAACGGGCCCGCCCCUUUGGGGGUGGGUUGAGUGGCGAACGGGUGAGUAUCACGUGAGUAACCUGCCCCCUGCUCCUGGAUAACUGCUUGAAAGGGCGGCUAAUACGGGGUGUGCCGGCUGGUCCGCAUGGGCCUGGUCGGGAUAGUUUCAUCUUCGGGUGUUUCGGUGGGGGAUGGGCUCGCGGCCUAUCAGCUUGUUGGUGGGGUGAUGGCCCACCAAGGCUUUGACGGGUAGCCGGCCUGAGAGGGUGACCGGUCACAUUGGGACUGAGAUACGGCCCAGACUCCUACGGGAGGCAGCAGUGGGGAAUAUUGCACAAUGGGCGCAAGCCUGAUGCAGCGACGCCGCGUGAGGGAUGGAGGCCUUCGGGUUGUGAACCUCUUUCGCCAGUGAAGAAGGUCCUGCUCUUUGUGGUGGGGUUGACGGUAGCUGGGUUAAUGAAGCGCCGGCUAACUACGUGCCAGCAGCCGCGGUAAUACGUAGGGCGCGAGCGUUGUCCGGAAUUAUUGGGCGUAAAGAGCUCGUAGGCGGCUGGUCGCGUCUGUCGUGAAAUCCUCUGGCUUAACUGGGGGCUUGCGGUGGGUACGGGCCGGCUUGAGUGCGGUAGGGGAGACUGGAACUCCUGGUGUAGCGGUGGAAUGCGCAGAUAUCAGGAAGAACACCGGUGGCGAAGGCGGGUCUCUGGGCCGUUACUGACGCUGAGGAGCGAAAGCGUGGGGAGCGAACAGGAUUAGAUACCCUGGUAGUCCACGCUGUAAACGUUGGGCACUAGGUGUGGGGGGCCUUUUCCGGGUUUUCCGCGCCGUAGCUAACGCAUUAAGUGCCCCGCCUGGGGAGUACGGCCGCAAGGCUAAAACUCAAAGGAAUUGACGGGGGC